rnacentral:rRNA from 1 species
UACGUAGGGGGCUAGCGUUGUUCGGAAUUACUGGGCGUAAAGCGCGCGCAGGCGGUCUUCCAAGUCAGUGGUGAAAGCCCGGAGCUCAACUCCGGAACUGCCAUUGAGACUGUAAGACUUGAGGACGAGAGAGGUGAGUGGAAUUCCCAGUGUAGAGGUGAAAUUAGUAGAUAUUGGGAAGAACACCGGUGGCGAAGGCGGCUCACUGGCUCGUAUCUGACGCUCAGGCGCGACAGCGUGGGGAUCAAACAGG